rnacentral:lncRNA from 1 species
GGGGAACAGGCUGAUACGCGGAAGCGCCGGCCAGGCAGGUGUCCGUUGGAGGGCUCUAAACAUUUACGAGUGACCCACCCCUAGUCAUUGGAAUUCAACUGUGCUCCAUGCUGUAGGAGAGGCAGCAACACCAAAUCUUUAUCUCAAUGUCUGCACUACCUUCCAAACAUAGAGCCUGAGUCAAGAACCCAGUGAGAUCCUGAGGGGAAUGCCUACAGCACAGAGAUUAUUUUCCUCGUGCUACAUUUGUAGCUCUAGAAAAGAGGCUACAUCUCCAGAUGCCACCCCCAUCCAACCUUCUGGAGGCAGCCCCAGGAGACAGCAGUGGUUGUGCACCAGAGGAACUCUGGUUAAAUUAUCAGUUCGGUUCCUGUACCCUCUGAUCAGAUUAAGUGCUCAGAAUUCCAAAGACUCCUCUCCAAAUGGAAAUUAUUGCUGGGGUGUCUCGAACUGCUGUGGAAAUUCUAAGUACAAAUUGGCAGUCUCUGGUAAAAAUGUUGGAUAAUUACUACCAUAUUCUCAUCACCUCAGAGGUGGAAAAGAUAGCCUGCCAUCUCCUUACAGUGAUCUUAAAGAAGCAGGUGCCCUGCACAAGGUGGCUGCUUUGAAGACCCAUCCACAGAUGACUGCUCUCCUCCCCUGUGGGUUCUUCCUACUUAGACAAGAAACAUCUCAUGUAAUGGGCCCAGUGAAUUGUAUCCAGGGUUCCCCUUUAAGUCUGAAUUUUAGGGAAAUUAUAAAAGCAAUCUAAUAGCGAACUGUGUUGGACGUGUUUCUUAUCAGCUUCUCAGUUUCCCAAACUCAUCAAAUAUUGAAGGUCUUGGAGCUAAAACCAACCGUCCAGAACCUGAAACAUUUAUUUGGAACUACAUUCAGAAUGUAAACAGCUAGGACAGGAAAGAAAACAAGUCAAUACGACCAUGAGGUUCUGCUUCUCCCAGAAUGUUGUUCUGAAAGAGAACUAGCGAGAGGCGGUCAAAUGGAGUCCCGCCUGAUUGCGUCUUUUGUUCUCCAGUUCCUCAGACUGGCCUUGCCCUGUGUAAAUGGUGGCAAGGGUUAAAUUCCCACCCACUGUGGGGAACAACUUUCUGUGGAAUUAGGACUACAGAAAGAGCCACAUCUAGGGCUGCC